rnacentral:rRNA from 1 species
AAUAGCGGAGGAAAAGAAACCAACCGGGAUUGCCUUAGUAACGGCGAGUGAAGCGGCAAAAGCUCAAAUUUGAAAUCUGGUACCUUCGGUGCCCGAGUUGUAAUUUGGAGAGGGCAACUUUGGGGCCGUUCCUUGUCUAUGUUCCUUGGAACAGGACGUCAUAGAGGGUGAGAAUCCCGUGUGGCGAGGAGUGCGGUUCUUUGUAAAGUGCCUUCGAAGAGUCGAGUUGUUUGGGAAUGCAGCUCUAAGUGGGUGGUAAAUUCCAUCUAAAGCUAAAUAUUGGCGAGAGACCGAUAGCGAACAAGUACAGUGAUGGAAAGAUGAAAAGAACUUUGAAAAGAGAGUGAAAAAGUACGUGAAAUUGUUGAAAGGGAAGGGCAUUUGAUCAGACAUGGUGUUUUGUGCCCUCUGCUCCUUGUGGGUAGGGGAAUCUCGCAUUUCACUGGGCCAGCAUCAGUUUUGGUGGCAGGAUAAAUCCAUAGGAAUGUAGCUUGCCUCGGUAAGUAUUAUAGCCUGUGGGAAUACUGCCAGCUGGGACUGAGGACUGCGACGUAAGUCAAGGAUGCUGGCAUAAUGGUUAUAUGCCGCCCGUCUUGACC